CUACGGGGUGCAGCAGUGAGGAAUAUUGCACAAUGGGGGGAACCCUGAUGCAGCAACGCCGCGUGGAGGAUGGCGCAUUUCGGUGUGUAAACUCCUUUUAUAUGUCAAGAAAAUGACGGUAGCAUAUGAAUAAGCACCGGCUAACUCCGUGCCAGCAGCCGCGGUAAUACGGAGGGUGCAAGCGUUACUCGGAAUCACUGGGCGUAAAGGACGCGUAGGCGGGUUGGAAAGUCAGGUGUGAAAUCCUACAGCUUAACUGUAGAACUGCACUUGAAACUUCUAAUCUAGAGUAUGGGAGGGGUAGAUGGAAUUAGUGGUGUAGGGGUAAAAUCCGUAGAUAUCACUAGGAAUACCUAAAGCGAAGGCGAUCUCCUGGAACAUUACUGACGCUAAGGCGUGAAAGCGUGGGGAGCAAACAGGAUUAGAUACCCCAGUAGUC
rnacentral:rRNA from 1 species